UACAGAGGGUGCGAACGUUGCUCGGAAUUACUGGGCGUAAAGCGCGUGUAGGCGGCGCCGCAAGUCAGAUGUGAAAGCCCCGGGCUCAACCCGGGAACUGCAUCUGAAACUGCGGUUCUUGAGUACUGGAGAGGGUGGCGGAAUUCCUGGUGUAGAGGUGAAAUUCGUAGAUAUCAGGAGGAACACCGGUGGCGAAGGCGGCCACCUGGACAGUCACUGACGCUGAGACGCGAAAGCGUGGGGAGCAAACAGG
rnacentral:rRNA from 1 species